rfam:Ricinus communis cultivar Hale ctg_1100012360439, whole genome shotgun sequence.
AAACCAUAGUGUGGACAGCUCCUCAGUAAAUCCUUGAAACGUUCCCAGCAAUCAUAUAGAGUUUCAUUCUCUUAUUGAAGAAACCUUGCUAUAUCAUUCCUCAACUC